UAAGUGGGGGCUGUAAUUUGAAGCGUCUAAUUGUUACUUAGAAGGUUAUAUUUAUAUUCACUUAG
rnacentral:tRNA from 1 species